rnacentral:rRNA from 17 species
UGGCGGCAGUAGCGCGGUGGUCCCACCUGACCCCAUGCCGAACUCAGAAGUGAAACGCCGUAGCGCCGAUGGUAGUGUGGGGUCUCCCCAUGCGAGAGUAGGGAACUGCCAGGC